CCGGGGUGGAGCGGGGGGUGUGCGGCACUGGGGGGGCCCGUCUGAACGCUGAGGGUCCUGUGCACCGGGGCUGCGCACCCCGGUGUCCCGGGGCCGGGGUCAGCCCCGGCGGUGCCGCACAGCCCGGUACCCGGAGGCGCCGCACAGCCCGGUGCCCCGGGGCUAGUGCGGAUUCCGGUGCCAGUGGUCCUGCGCAUCCUCGUGACCCUGUGGCGGUGACGGUCCCGGUCCUUGGGGCACACGGGUGCCCUGGGGCUGAUGCCGGUCCCAGUCCCAGUGGUGCUGCACAUCCGGAACCCCAGGGCUGGUCCUGGUCCCGGUCCCGGGCGUGCUCUGCAUCCCGGGGCCGAUCAGCUUCCCCUGUACCAGCGGGAAGGAGGUGGGCAGCAGGCGGGGUCCCUGCGGCUCUUGGUGGGGUCAGGACUCGGCCCUCGGGGUCUUUGGAGGCUCCAUCCCCCUCCUCAGCGCAGCUCUCCCUGGCAGGUGACACCGCACAGGGACGGGGCUGGGGACAUCCGAAGCCAGGUAAGAGGGGGCCGGGCUGUGCAGGGCCUGGGGGUGCCUCAGGCCAGCAGGGACCCCGUGGUGACGCGUGUCCCCCGCAGCAGUGAUGUCGGAGAGCGUGGCCGAGGCGCCGGCAGCCGGGAGCCCGGCAGCGCUGGGCGAGACGGGCACCAGCCAUGAGCUGCUGCAGCGCCUGCGGGAGCUGGAGGCAGAGAACUCAGCCCUGGCCCAGGCCAAUGAGAACCAGCGGGAGACGUAUGAACGCUGCCUGGACGAGGUACUGGAGAGCAGCCACACACUAAGCACACAUGUGCACACGUGUGUGCUGGGCCAUGAGGCUGUGGGUGCCCUGUGCCCCACCUCAGACCUCCCCUCUCCUCCCCAGGUUGCCAACCACGUGGUGCAGGCACUGCUCAACCAGAAGGACCUGCGUGAGGAGUGCAUCAAGCUGAAGAAACGUGUCUUCGAGCUGGAGAGGCAGAACCAGGUGCUGAGCGACCUGUUCCAGCAGAAGCUGCAGCUCUCCACUGGGUCCCUCCCCCAGCUGCCGCUGCACCCGGUGCCAGUACCCCCGGAUGUCCCAGUCACCCCCCAGCCAGGCUCUGCUGAGCAACAGCCCCCCCCGCUGCUCCCUGGCCUCUGUCUGUCCCUGCCCGAGGUGGGUACUGGUGUUCCCAGCCCCUUCUUGUCCCAGCGUUCCCUCUCUGGGCUGUGUCACCCCCUUCCCCAUUGUCUUUUCCCGGUGUGUGGUGCCACCAGGCCUGUGACACGUGGUUUCCCAGGCCCACGGUGUCCUCUCCUCUUCCCCUCCCUGGAUCUGUGGUGUCCUCAUCCACGUGCCUGUGGCUUCAUACUUUCAACAGGGUCCUUGUCCCUGUGGUCCCUGCGGUGUCACCUCUCCAGGUCCAUGGUGUCCAGCUCCCCAAGCCCCUCCAUCUGUGAUGUCUCUGGCUCCAAAUUCCUCAGAUGUCCCUGUCCCCAUUGUGUCCCCAUCCCAAAGCCUACUGUGCCCUUCUCUGUGUUUCCAGCGUGUCCCCCUCUGGUACCAGGGGGCUCAGCGCCAGGCACUCGCAGGGUGACAGUGCCCUGUCCCCACAGGUGCUGCCACCAGUGCCAUCGGGCAGCCCUGGCCUCAGCCCUGGCGCCCCACCCCUGGAUGCCCUGUCCCCCUUCUUCAAAAAGAAAGCCCAAAUCCUGGAGGUGCUGCGCAAGCUGGAGGAGACAGACCCGCUGCUGGGGCCCCCCCCGGCCUCCCCCGGCUCCCCCGAGCCCUGCGCCCCCCUGGCUUGGCCCCCCCCCCCCCCCCCCCCCCCCCCCCCCCCCCCCCCCCCCCCCCCCCCCCCCCCCCCCCCCCCCCCCCCCCCCCCCCCCCCCCCCCCCC
rnacentral:lncRNA from 12 species